UACGUAUGGUGCAAGCGUUAUCCGGAUUUACUGGGUGUAAAGGGAGCGCAGGCGGUCUGGCAAGUCUGAUGUGAAAGCCCGGGGCUCAACCCCGGGAUUGCAUUGGAAACUGUCAGACUAGAGUGUCGGAGAGGUAAGUGGAAUUCCUAGUGUAGCGGUGAAAUGCGUAGAUAUUAGGAGGAACACCAGUGGCGAAGGCGGCUUACUGGACGAUAACUGACGCUGAGGCUCGAAAGCGUGGGGAGCAAACAGG
rnacentral:rRNA from 1 species